AGUGAACGCUGGCGGUAGGCCUAACACAUGCAAGUCGAACGGCAGCACAGUAAGAGCUUGCUCUUACGGGUGGCGAGUGGCGGACGGGUGAGGAAUACAUCGGAAUCUACUUUUUCGUGGGGGAUAACGUAGGGAAACUUACGCUAAUACCGCAUACGACCUACGGGUGAAAGCAGGGGAUCUUCGGACCUUGCGCGAUUGAAUGAGCCGAUGUCGGAUUAGCUAGUUGGCGGGGUAAAUGCCCACCAAGGCGACGAUCCGUAGCUGGUCUGAGAGGAUGAUCAGCCGCACUGGAACUGAGACACGGUCCAGACUCCUACGGGAGGCAGCAGUGGGGAAUAUUGGACAAUGGGCGCAAGCCUGAUCCAGCCAUACCGAGUGGGUGAAGAAGGCCUUCGGGUUGUAAAGCCCUUUUGUUGGGAAAGAAAAGCAGCAGGUUAAUACCCCGCUGUUCUGACGGUACCCAAAGAAUAAGCACCGGCUAACUUCGUG
rnacentral:rRNA from 1 species